UACGUAGGGUGCAAGCGUUAAUCGGAAUUACUGGGCGUAAAGCGUGCGCAGGCGGUUUUGUAAGUCUGUCGUGAAAUCCCCGGGCUCAACCUGGGAAUUGCGAUGGAGACUGCAAGGCUAGAAUCUGGCAGAGGGGGGUAGAAUUCCACGUGUGAGCAGUGAAAUGCGUAGAGAUGUGGAGGAACACCGAUGGCGAAGGCAGCCCCCUGGGUCAAGAUUGACGCUCAUGCACGAAAGCGUGGGGAGCAAACGAGGAUUAGAUACCUUG
rnacentral:rRNA from 1 species